UACGUAGGGGGCAAGCGUUAUCCGGAAUUACUGGGUGUAAAGGGAGCGUAGACGGUGAUGUAAGUCUGGAGUGAAAGGCGGGGGCCCAACCCCCGGACUGCUCUGGAAACUAUAUGACUGGAGUGCAGGAGAGGUGAGCGGAAUUCCUAGUGUAGCGGUGAAAUGCGUAGAUAUUAGGAGGAACACCGAUUGCGCAGGCAGCUUGCUAAUCCGCAUCUGACGCUGAUGCACGAAAGCGUGGGUAGCGAACAGG
rnacentral:rRNA from 1 species